rnacentral:rRNA from 1 species
GACAGAGGAGCCAAGCGUUGUCCGGACUGACUGGGCGUAAAGCGCCCGCAGGCGGCCGUGUACGUGGGGUGUGAAAGCGCUCGGCUUAACUGAGCGAGGCCAUCCCAUACGGCGCGGCUCGAGCCGUCCAGAGGCCGGUGGAAUUGCCGGUGUAGUGGUGAAAUGCGUAGAGAUCGGCAGGAACACCCCGGGGGAAACCAGCCGGCUGGGGACGUGCUGACGCUCAGGGGCGAAAGCGUGGGGAGCGAACCGG